GGGUCCGGACACACUGAGGAUUGACAGGCAAUAUUAACACGUUUUGCCUCGGUAAACGCGUAUUAUGUUAAAUAUGCUAGUCCUUUCAUGAUUAUGUGAUAGGUGGUGCAUGGCCGUUCUUAGUUCGUGGAGUGAUCUGUCUGCUUAAUUGCGUUUCACUAAGGGCCUAUAAAUUUACGUGUGUUGCAUCGCACUUUGACCCCUUUCUUUAAUUAGAGAGCGCGUGUCUUAGUUUUCGCUUUGCUCAUACAAUUAGGUCCUGAAAGCAACGAACGUGACCGCAACCUCUUGUUGCCUUUAUACCAAACAUGUUUUGCGUCAAUUUUUACGAAUUGCGCGCAUUUCAUGAAAAAAGGCUUUUUAAACUAGAGGGACCGCUGUUACUUUCUUAAACCAGAGGAAGGUUGCGGCAAUAACAGGUCUGUGAUGCCCUUAGAUGUUCCGGGCUGCACACGUGCUACAAUGAUUAUUGCAGUGAGCAUCUCAUUUUUACACACCGCAUGCGCGAGUCCAUUUAUUCACCUUCGGGUGUUUUAAAUGUGUAUCUCUGCGCGCGGUAAAGCCUGCUUCGACAGUAAGUGGGU
rnacentral:rRNA from 1 species